CCAAAAAAAAACAAAAGCAUUAUUAAAACAUCACUGAAUGGACGCUACGAGUCUAGCAACUACUAAAGCGAAAGAGUCGUAAAGUAGCAGCAUGUAAGAUGCCUAAUGGAACCUGAAGCCAUGCCCUGUCUGUCGGAACCCUUCACAAUCGGAGACUAUGUAUUAAAAUCAAAGUUAGGAGAAAGUUCUGUUUCCACUGUUUGGAAAGCAGAGAGCCAAUCGAGUGGAGAAGUAGUGGCAGUGAAGCAAGUUUUCCUUCCCAGGCUCAACAAACACCUCGCCAACUGUUUAGAUUGCGAGCUUAAUUUUCUCUCCUCUGUCAAUCACCCCAACAUCAUCCGCCUUCUCCUCGUUUUACAGUCUGAAAGUUGUUUGUUCCUGGUCCUUGAGUUCUGUGCUGGAGGAAAUCUAGCCUCUUACAUUCGGCAUCAUGGAAGAGUUCAAGAGCAAUUAGCCAGGAGAUUCAUGCAGCAACUUGGAGCUGGUUUGGAAGUUUUACAGUCCCACCAUAUCAUUCACAGAGACCUGAAACCAGAGAACAUUCUACUUUCGGGCUCCAAGGAUGAUGCCAUGCUGAAGAUAGCUGAUUUUGGUCUUUCAAGAAGUGUAGAUCCAGGCAAUUAUGCUCUGACAGUAUGUGGGACCCCAUUGUAUAUGGCACCAGAAGUUCUACAAUUUCAAAGAUACGAUGAGAAGGUUGACAUGUGGAGUCUUGGUGCAAUUCUUUUUGAGCUUCUUCAUGGUCACCCACCUUUCCGCGGUAGGACUAAUGUUCAGCUGCUGCAGCAUAUCAACUCAUCUACAUGCCUUCCAUUUUCUAAGCUCAUUCGUCCACAAUUAGAUCCGGACUGUAUCGACAUAUGUUCAAGACUUCUUUCUGUAAAUCCAGUUCACCGCCUGUCCUUUCAAGAAUUUUAUCAGCAUAGAUUUUUGAGAAAAAAAGGAAUGGGGAAAUAAAAUCAACUACCGUACUUGAGAGUUUGAAAUACAAUUCAUCCCAAGAUAAAAACUGAUAAGUAUAGCAUAUUCAGAAGAGAAAGUGACAAACAUAGCAUAUUCAGAAGCUUUAAGUCAAGCUCACUCGACAUCAUCCUUGGCUUGGAGCUUCAGAAAAAGAACAAAUCUUCUUUCCAUAUUGCAGUCACAAUGUUAUGACCAGCUUGAAGUCAGUUUUGGAAGAGGCAUGAAUCUCCUAGAAUACUAAAACUUGUUUACUAGGGAUUUAAAGGGAUAUGUUAGUGAAAAAAAAUUUCCCCCACUCUUUCUAUCAGUUAGAGACCUGCUGGAUGUGAUCUUGGCUAUGAGAUUUCUUAAAUGAGGUCCAUGGGAUGGCAAUCACCAUAGUACCUCGAAAGCACAAUGGCGGUUAAAGCAAACUGAAGGUUAUGUCAGCACUGCAGCAGUAAAUUGCAACCAUCACAAGUUUGGUUGGGGAGCCAAAACAGAGGGCCUUUUUCACUCUACACAGCAGCGUUUUGGGGUGCCAUAAGGCACUGCUAAACUGAUCUUAAUAUCUAGACAUCUAUGACAGGCUUACACCCUACUUUUUAGUUGAGUUCAGUCAAGCUUUUUUCAUUUGUAUGUUGGUGAGUUUUGAAAAUUUCACCAUCAUUAUCUCAGGCUUGAUCCUUUAAUUCUUUUGAGAGACUUCAUUUAAGAAUUUCUACACUGGACUAGCUAGCAGCUAUUUCUGAAGUAGUAGCGCAUGACAUUUUGAGGGGUAGCUAUUUCUGUUUCUUUUGUUCUUACUUUUCAUGGUUUUCUUAUAUAUAAAUCUGUUAUCGUACCUAAGGCUAUAACCCAAUAUUACCAAUAAUAAUUUGCAACCAACAUCGUUUUGGAUGGUUCUUGUGCCGACAAUGUGGGAUUCCCUUCUUUGGAAUCAGGUUUAAGAGAUGGAGGGUUAAUUUUGAUUGUGUAUUUGUUCUAUUGUACCAAAAAGGAAGUAAAAAAAGGUUGAAGCUUUUUCUUUGGUCGUCUUUCCAAUUCUUAAAUUCUAUAUAUGCAGCCGUAUUGGUCUUGACAUUGAAUGAGCUUUGCCUUGAAACUCACUGGUUAGCACAUGUUUUG